UACGGGGGGAGCAAGCGUUACUCGGAAUUACUGGGCGUAAAGGGCGCGUAGGCGAUUCGAUAAGUCUUGUGUGAAAGCCCCGUGCUUAACGCGGGAAGUGCAUAAGAUACUGUAGAAAUUGAGUUCCGGAGAGGAAGAUGGAAUUCCCGGUGUAGCGGUGAAAUGCGUAGAUAUCAGGAGGAACACCUGUGGUGUAGACAGCUUACUGGACCAUUUCUGACGCUGAGACACGAAAGCGUGGGUAGCAAACAGG
rnacentral:rRNA from 1 species